AGUGAACGCUGGCGGUAGGCCUAACACAUGCAAGUCGAACGGCAGCACAGGAGAGCUUGCUCUCUGGGUGGCGAGUGGCGGACGGGUGAGGAAUACAUCGGAAUCUGCCCAGUCGUGGGGGAUAACGUAGGGAAACUUACGCUAAUACCGCAUACGACCUUCGGGUGAAAGAGGGGGAUCGCAAGACCUCUCGCGAUUGGAUGAGCCGAUGUCGGAUUAGCUAGUUGGCGGGGUAAUGGCCCACCAAGGCGACGAUCCGUAGCUGGUCUGAGAGGAUGAUCAGCCACACUGGAACUGAGACACGGUCCAGACUCCUACGGGAGGCAGCAGUGGGGAAUAUUGGACAAUGGGCGCAAGCCUGAUCCAGCCAUACCGCGUGGGUGAAGAAGGCCUUCGGGUUGUAAAGCCCUUUUGUUGGGAAAGAAAUCUUUCAGGCUAAUACCCUGGGAGGAUGACGGUACCCAAAGAAUAAGCACCGGCUAACCUCGUG
rnacentral:rRNA from 1 species